rnacentral:rRNA from 1 species
UGGGGAAUCUUCCGCAAUGGACGAAAGUCUGACGGAGCAACGCCGCGUGAGUGAUGACGGCCUUCGGGUUGUAAAGCUCUGUUAAUCGGGACGAAUGGUUCUUGCGCGAAUAGUGCAAGGAUUUGACGGUACCGGAAUAGAAAGCCACGGCUAACUACGUGCCAGCAGCCGAGGUAAUACGUAGGUGGCAAGCGUUGUCCGGAAUUAUUGGGCGUAAAGCGCGCGCAGGCGGAUUGGUCAGUCUGUCUUAAAAGUUCGGGGCUUAACCCCGUGAUGGGAUGGAAACUGCCAAUCUAGAGUAUCGGAGAGGAAAGUGGAAUUCCUAGUGUAGCGGUGAAAUGCGUAGAUAUUAGGAAGAACACCAGUGGCGAAGGCGACUUUCUGGACGAAAACUGACGCUGAGGCGCGAAAGCCAGGGGAGCGAACGGG